AACGAACGCUGGCGGCAGGCCUAACACAUGCAAGUCGAACGCCCCGCAAGGGGAGUGGCAGACGGGUGAGUAACGCGUGGGAACGUGCCCUUCGGUUCGGAAUAACUCAGGGAAACUUGAGCUAAUACCGGAUACGUCCGUAAGGAGAAAGAUUUAUCGCCGAAGGAUCGGCCCGCGUCGGAUUAGCUAGUUGGUGAGGUAACGGCCCACCAAGGCGACGAUCCGUAGCUGGUCUGAGAGGAUGAUCAGCCACACUGGGACUGAGACACGGCCCAGACUCCUACGGGAGGCAGCAGUGGGGAAUAUUGGACAAUGGGCGAAAGCCUGAUCCAGCCAUGCCGCGUGAGUGAAGAAGGCCUUAGGGUUGUAAAGCUCUUUCAGCGGGAAGAUAAUGACGGUACCCGCAGAAGAAGCCCCGG
rnacentral:rRNA from 1 species